CAGUUAGUUGGCGGGGUAAUGGCCCACCAAGACUAUGAUCGGUAUCCGGCCUGAGAGGGCGCACGGACACACUGGAACUGAAACACGGUCCAGACUCCUACGGGAGGCAGCAGUGGGGAAUUUUGCGCAAUGGGGGAAACCCUGACGCAGCAACGCCGCGUGGAGGAUGAAGUCCCUUGGGACGUAAACUCCUUUCGAUCGGGACGAUAAUGACGGUACCGAGAGAAGAAGCCCCGGCUAACUUCGUGCCAGCAGCCGCGGUAAUACGAGGGGGGCGAGCGUUGUUCGGAAUUAUUGGGCGUAAAGGGUGCGUAGGCGGUUUGGUAAGUCUUGCGUGAAAUCUUCGGCUCAACUCGAAGUCUGCAUGAGAAACUGCCGGGCUUGAGUGUGGGAGAGGUGAGUGGAAUUCCCGGUGUAGCGGUGAAAUGCCUAAAUAUCGGGAGGAACACCUGUGGCGAAAGCGGCUCACUG
rnacentral:rRNA from 1 species